AAGAAGGUAAUAAUACUUAAAAUGACUGUUUUAGUGAGAGAGUCUUCCAGAAAAGGAAAGCGACUUAACUGACUAGAAGCAUAAUUUGCUUUAACUUGUUGCAGUAGACAUUUGCAGUUUGGCAGAAACAGCUUCCUAGAAUUUAUAGGAACACCAAGAUAUUAUAACGGUAGUGAACCCCGAGACAUACCAGUAGACAGGGGCGAAGCCAGACCUUUUUCUUAGUGGGUGCAAAACAAUUAACAUAAUAGGAAUGUGGAGUAUUGAACCUGUGUUUUCUGAAAGUUAUGGGUACACCCUUGCCAAAUAUGACAUUUCGAACUAAUAUAUCCAAUGUAAAAAAUGAAAUAUCUAAAUACUAAUGGAUGCACGUGCACCCAUAUACCUUAACGUAGCUUCGCCCCUGCCACUAGAAGCUUCAGUUGUUUUUUAAUCAUCAUCAGACAUACCAGAAGCAAAGAGGCUGGUUUUCUGCAUACUAACAACAAGACCAGAAAGGUUUUCAAAUUUAUAGAGCAUUUGUAACACACACUAGACAGAACCAAUGGAUCUAUCAAUGAAAAUCAGGAGGUCAUCAGCAAAACAAAGAUGAGUAAGCUUUACUCCCUUACAUUUCGGAUGGGAUUUUAUUUUCUCUUGAGCAGCUGUAUCAUUUAACAUUUAACAUAUGGGAGAAAGGUGGUUCAUUGCAAUUACAAAAAUAUAUGGGGAUAAGGGAUCCAUCAUUGAAAUGGAGGCUCGAGUCGGAGAUUUAUUGGGAGUAGACUUCGAAGCUGGAGCCUUUUUGGACUUUUUCUUCAUGUCGGGAGAGGGUCCCAGAUCUGAGAGGGUGGAGAGCAAUCGACGUUCGAUUAGACGCCGGUGAGCAGCGCUUAGGUGAGACACGGCGGAGGGGGGAAGUUGCAAUUUUGGUCGCAUUUUAGAGGAGAUAGAAAGUAGUUGUUUAAUACUUAAACAAACCCAUUUUUUGAUGUACAGAAGACUUCUUCUCAUGUACCAACACCCAAAAGAUUAAGCGAAUUUUACAUUGUAACUUUUCUUUUUCCGAAAGUAUUCAUACCAAAAAG
rnacentral:lncRNA from 1 species